rnacentral:misc_RNA from 1 species
GACGAGAAGUUCUCAUUCCUUGCAUCAGGAAAACAGAUAGUAAGCAGCAUCGAUGAUGAUAAUAAGGUUGUUGUGUUUGAACGUGGUGACCUGGUAUUUGUAUUCAACUUCCACCCAAAUAACACAUACGAAGGGUAUAAAGUUGGAUGUGACUUGCCAGGGAAGUACAGAGUUGCACUGGACAGUGAUGCUUGGGAAUUUGGUGGCCAUGGAAGAGUUGGUCAUGAUGUUGACCAUUUCACAUCACCAGAAGGAAUACCUGGAGUUCCAGAAACAAAUUUCAAUGGUCGUCCAAAUUCCUUCAAAUUGCUGUCUCCUGCGCACACAUGUGUGGCUUAUUACAGAGUUGACGAAUGCAUGUCAGAAACUGAAGUUUACCAGACAGACAUUUCUAAUGAGCUACUACCAACAGCCAAUAUCGAGGAGAGUGACGAGAAACUUAAAGAUUCAUUAUCUACAAAUAUCAGUAACAUCGGUCAGACUGUUGUAGCUUCUGUUGAGGAGAGAGACAAGGAACUUAAAGAUUCACCUAUCUGUAAGCAUCAUUAGUGAUGUUGUUCAAGCUGACUGAGGUGAUUCGGAUGCAAACGUCUGGAUCAGAUGUCUUCUACGUUGGUGAUCUUAGUCCGCGCAUGUUGCCUUCAGGGUGGUAGCAUUUCCUCUGCAAAUUAUUAGCAUCCAAUAAAUUUACUGGUUGUAAAUAGAAAAAAUGCAUUUGCAUGUAUGUGUUCCUCUGAAAUUUUCCCAGUUUUUGGUGCUUUGCCUUUGAAGCCAAGUCUCUAUAUGUAAU